GCCCCUCUAAUCCAACUGGAAGAGAUAUUGGACUUAAAAUCCAUACAGUCUUGGUUCGAAUCCAAGGAGGGGUA
rnacentral:tRNA from 1 species